CUGCUGCCUCCCGUAGGAGUCUGGGCCGUGUCUCAGUCCCAAUGUGGCCGUCCACCCUCUCAGGCCGGCUACUGAUCGCUGCCUUGGUGGGCGUUACCCCGCCAACUAGCUAAUCAGACGCGGAUCCAUCGUAUACCACCGGAGUUUUUCACACUGCCCCAUGCGGAGCCGUGCGCUUAUGCGGUAUUAGCACCUAUUUCUAAGUGUUAUCCCCCGGUAUACGGCAGGUUAUCCACGCGUUACUCACCCGUCCG
rnacentral:rRNA from 1 species